GACUGACUGUUUAAGAGAGAGAAAGAUGAGUGAGAAAAAGAAAAGAAAAGAGCUGAUUAGGAUUUCCUCAUCACCUCCCAAGGGUUCUACUAACCCACCACAGUCCAAUCAUCUUACUUCAAAGAGGAUUUCUUCUCCUGGUCUUCCUACGAUCCAUGAUCAUCCCCAGCAAAGGCCAAUCGGCUCAUCUUCUGAUCAUUCGGCUGCUCAAAGUGGUCUCCAGUCACCUGAGGCAACUCGAUCCUGAUCUCAAGUUUCUCAAGGGAUUUGCCGCUAUCGUUGGGAGAUUUCCAAAGCCUCUAAGGAGCGGGUGGAAGCUUUGGAGCAGAGGUUCUUGCAAGUAGUUUUCUUUGCUGAUGAAGAUAUCGAUCAGGCAUGUGCUAGAGGGAGAUUAGCUCUGGUUGGCUGAUUUUUCAGGUAUUUCAUUCAAAAGGGGGGCACGAUUUGUCAAUGAUCGGUUUGGCUCUUCUUCCAUCUUGCUGAACUCUUUUACAGUUACCAACAGUUCUAUUCAAUAGAUGCCAGCAGGGCAAGGUUUCUUUGAGGCUGCUUCUGGGACAGUCUGAAUUUGCUUGGUUUUGCUGGUUUUGGAGCUAGCCAGUCUUCUCUGCUUUUAUAUUUGGUGUUCAUGCACUCUCUAUACUAUUAAGUCUUUAUUUUUUUAUUCUGUUCUAAACUGUAACAGGUUAUUACUUUAGUUUGUUUUAAAUUCUAGUAAGUUUUGCUCCUCUCUUUUAGCAAAAAAAGUCAAGAGCAUGAGUAAAGUGCAAAUUCUACUAUA